rnacentral:sRNA from 12 species
AGGGACGGAUCCGGCGGGACGAACGACCCUCGUUCCCUGGUCCGGCGGCGCGUCGCCGGUUUGGGCUUCUCUCCUUUGCGCGGAGACGCAUGAGAACCUCGAUAAGCGCAAGCUUACCGAAACUCAUGUGCAGGCUUUGAAAGCCCGGACCGCAAUAUUCGAGGUUGGCGCAGGCGUCGGUUACCCGAACGAUGGGGAGCGGCUCCCUCAGCCCGGAGGCGGCGAGACGACGCGAUCCGUGUCCGGGA